UGGCCCUACAGUGAGCUGAAACAGCUGAGGUCACAGAUACAGACCAAGUGCACGACACUGCGCGUGUGCUGACUGUAAAUGAGCAGGGGCCGAGAGGAGCCCAGAGACGCCGGGCAGGACUCUUAUCCUGCUAAUCAGCCCAGAGCACGUGGGACGGAGGCUCCAGCUCCACGCAGACGCGAGCGCUUCCUGACAGCUACCUCUCACUCAGUCUCCCCCCUGCUUUUUUUGUUUUUUUUGGUUGCCUUGCAGAGCACGUAGCGAGGAAACACCAGCGGUGUGCGUGGGCUUAACAUAGUUUCCACUGAAAAAAAAGGUGAAUUGCGGGAGGAGAGGGACGGCUCUGAAAAGCCGUUCUUCGCAGGAUGCUCGCUCGUUUGCUGGCACUCACGCUGCGAAGUAGUAGCAAAGAAAAAAAACAAAACAACCCAGCACAAUUAACACGAGGAUCAAAUAACAAACUCCAUUCUAACCCACAGCAAACUGCUCCAUGUACAAUCCUUUGUUCCACAGUCCCUUGAAAUCUCAUGUCAAGUGGCAAACGCAUUUACAUUCCAUUUAACUGUAAGUGGAGAUAAUUGUGCAAAUGGGUGCAAUUUUGAGCGUCUGAUAGGGAGCGUGGCACAGUGUGUGUGCGUGUGUGCGCGCGCGCAAGAGUGCGCGUGCGUGCGCGCCCCGUUAAUGGUGUUUAUUUGACUUUGGGGGAAGCCCUGUGCCCAUUGUUCCCAGACCCCCAUAUAUGGUAAUGUAAACACGGCGCUUCGUAAGCUCUCUGGAGCGUGCGCACUAAAAUGAAUGAGCACAGGAAGACCCGCUCCGGCAGGAAGUGGCAGCCGCUGCCAUGGCAACCAACUGAAACCCGAGGCAGCGAGGGAGAGAGCCUCGCGCCUCUCGCUCGCUGUCUUGACGUCAUUUCUAGUACGGCGCGACUGAGCGGCAGCAGCUGCGGCUCACACGCGGGACAAACAAAGAAGUUUCAUCAGAAAAGCCACGCGAGAGGGACGAGGCAAAUAUUUUGUCUGCGUUUCAAGACCCGUGCGUCAAAGCUAAGUAGUAAGAGCACGUCAAUAAAAGGAGGACGGCUGAAUAUGCAGAUUAGCGGCACGGCUGCAAAGCGUCUUUAAACGCCUUUCUAGAAAUGGAUUCAGUGUUUGUGACUCGUCAGAAGCAGCGGGUUCAGGCCUCAGGCGGUGAAUAAAUACAGCAGCACGCAGCGGUGGGGUCAGUGCUGAUGAAGGUGCAAAAACAUGGGAAACGGAGGACGAGAGAUAAGGAGGGCCAGAAGCGACCCUGACACGCUGUUUACUUUACAUCAGGCCUCCACUGGACUCCACCAAGGGUGAACCACUUGUCCAUGGUGGGAUGAGUGGAACGUCUAGAAGCCUUUUGCAAGGAUGCAUGGAACACUCUCUGGCUCCUCUGGCAGGAAACACGAAGCCGUUCUGCUUUGUGACUCACGGCGUGACCUUCAGCCAAGCCCUCGUCACAUGGCAGUUUUAAAAGCAGCCAGGGGGAAAUUCAAAUGCUCCAGGAAUACAAUGGUUUAUGAUACUGCACGCACCGACUGCAGGGUACGGAUGAAGAAAAUAGCAGCUACGCAGACGUCACUGAGCCACUUUUAAAUGAGACAUUCUCAAAAAAGACACCAGGAAACACAUGGCGGCAGCUUCCAGAGGAAGUCAAGAGUCAAAAAAACCACUUUGUGUAUAUAUUUAGCACUGGAAUGUAUUAGACUGAACAUGUGUUUUCCCCGUGUCUGUGUCUCUCUGUCACUCUGGUAAUGUGUUCUGCUGUGUAGCUUAGUCAGAUGCCAUUGUCUGCUCGACAACACAAAACCCCAGUGUUCUGAUGCAGCCUCGUUUCUGUUUUCUUUCCCACGUAUGAAACUUUGUUGCCGAAGAAAAAUAAAAAAAUAUAUAUUUGGUACGUUCUCGAAUUGGAUGCAAGUAAAUCAGAGAGCAAGCUUCUCUCCUACCGGCUACCAAACACUGCAUCAACAUCUCAUCAGCGUAAAACGGUUCCUACUGCAGGCGGCUCACACGUGUUCAGCUCAGAUAAACUUGGUGAAACACGGGAUUUCUUUUAUCGACUGCAGAUUCAAUAUGAGGCAAAAAUAACUUCUGACUAAUUUCUUGCUAUUCACUUAAUGUCAUUACUCCUAAAGAGCUAGUAAUUUGUUUCUGUUGUUGAAAAUGUACUUCUAUAAUGCCCCUGACUGUGACAAUUCAGUGCUCACCCAGCCGCCAAUAAAAUCUGGAUAUACACAAAAACUCAAGUGAUAAUAACGUUUAAAUUAAUUAUUAUUAUUGCGUUUAAAUGUCGAAACAUGAAAGUUCAAAUCAGAGUUCAUUCUCGUGGAAUGCCUUUAAUUAUUCCCAUCCUGUGUCUAGUUGACGUGUCAUUCCUGAGCCCGCAGGACCCGCAUGAUAAAAAAGUGUGGUUCCUUUCAAUGAGAGCGCUGUCUCUGAAAAUGACCGUGCAUCAGUUCACCUUCAUUCUGUUUCAGAGUCCACUGAAAACAGAUCAGCAGAAAACCUUCAACUGUGUCAUGGUGGAUAAACGUCGACUGAGUGACGACUGACUUGGUUUUUUUUUUGGACUUGACUGUGUUGGACGCAUGCUUCCUUCCCUUCCUUCCUUCCUUCCUUCCUUCCUUCCUUCCUUCCUUCCUUCCUUCCUUCCUUCCUUCCUUCCUUCCUUCCUUCCUUCCGUC